rnacentral:rRNA from 1 species
CUACGGGAGGCUCCAGUGGGGAAUAUUGCACAAUGGAGGAAACUCUGAUGCAGCAACGCCGCGUGGAGGAUGACACUUUUCGGAGCGUAAACUCCUUUUAUAUAGGAAGAAGAUGACGGUACUAUAUGAAUAAGCGCCGGCUAACUCCGUGCCAGCAGCCGCGGUAAUACGGGGGGCGCAAGCGUUACUCGGAAUCACUGGGCGUAAAGAGCGUGUAGGCGGAUUAAAAAGUCAGAAGUGAAAUCCUAUAGCUUAACUAUAGAACUGCUUCUGAAACUCUUAAUCUAGAAUAUGGGAGAGGUAGAUGGAAUUUCUGGUGUAGGGGUAACAUCCGUAGAGAUCAGAAGGAAUACCGAUUGCGAAGGCGAUCUACUAGAACAUUAUUGACGCUGAGACGCGAAAGCGUGGGGAGCAAACAGGAUUAGAUACCCUUGUAGUC